CACUAUAUAAUAGAACGAUCGUAACCCUUUUUUUUACCGAACUCAAUUUGCCGCGUCAAAUUUGCCUCAUUACAAUUUCUCUCCAAUUUUCAAUUCUUAGUUUCAUGAACGUAUCAUCGAUCUGUUUCUCAUAAGAUCGUUAGAGUUCUACAAAAUAUGUUUCACUUAUGAAAAUUCUCAUUCAAUCAAGUCGCGAAUCUGCCACCGUGAGAUAUCGGUUGAUCAGCGAAUGAUCGUGUGUUUUUCUGCGAGGUUCGUGUUUGAAUCGGAGCAAUUAACACGGAAUCAAUUGUAUAAUUGUAGAGUUUAUGAUAACAAUCGUAUAGGAUAUUAAUUAAAUUUUGUAUCCAUUGCAAAUUCGGUUGGCGAGAUCAGAAGUUUAGGCAUAGCAACACAAGGUAUUUGACAAUUUGUUGUGUUUCUAUGUUAUUAAUUUGUUAAUUGUGAAUGGAUCUUUGCUAUGUCAGGUGCGCUUGCAUAGCAGAUCCGAAAAAUCUUAAUAAAAUUGAAGUUAUUUUGUUUUGAGAGGGGAGAGAUAGGUUUGGGGAUUUUUAUUUUUAUUUUUUUCCCCAACCUAUUUUUCUUUCCCUCUGUUGUGCGUGUGUGUCUUGUGUCUUCUCCUUUCUCUUUUCUAUUCUGUUAUUUUUUUUCUUCUUUUAUUCUUCAAUGCACCCCACAACACCGCACAUGAUAUGAUUCUAAUCAGCAAUCUAUCGUCGUUACGAAACCCAAUUCAACAAGUAAUCGCCGACACGAUUAUUUUGUUAUAAUAUUGCUCAAUUUAUCAUAGAAUUAAGUAAUUUAUAAUCUGUUUUAUACUAAUGAUUAACUCACAUCCUGAAUUCAUGACAUUAUUUUACGGCGUAUUUGAUUAAAUUGAAGGAUAUGGCUGCAAUUUAAUUCUACGAUAUGUUGUUUGUUGUUCACGCUUAAAUUUGUAUAAGAAAGACAGGUCCAAUAUUGUUCAUCAAUUGGCUAUUUUAUUUUAUGUAAGGAAGAGAGGAAAAGGGUGCUGUCAUCUAUCUCGACCAGUUUCCCGAGGCGUACAUUUCAAUGUCAUUGUCGUUAUUUUUUGUAAUAGAUUUUGUAACUUAAAUAUUGUUGCAAUUCAGUCAAACUUUUAACCAAAGGAAUUUUCUAACAUGCACUUGGUUUUGUAGUGGUACACAUUCAACAAGUAUACUCAGAAGAGGGAAAAAUUACUGUCAAUUCAAUAUUCUAUAAUUUUUAUCGAACAUUGUUUCUAAGGUUUAUAUUUAAUGGAACUUUUAACUUCGUGCUGGGGACUCGAGUGAAAGUUGUGUGCAGUACAAGAGAUUUUGGCUUUAUGUCCCGCAUACACAAUAAACAUAUCCAAAAUUUCGUGAACAGUCUUGUAUCUUUGAUAGCCUUGGUCAGCCUUACUGAAUUUCUUCCACAUUGUUCCAUAAUCCUAGGAAUACUGCAUCGAGAUGGCAUGGACAUACAAUACAAGGUGUAGUGGCAAGGGGUUGUUGAUUUGGCUUAGUUUUUUAUGUUUAUGGAUUGACUAGUUUCUAGUGAUGUAUUGAGAUGUACAUAUAAUUAAUCAUCAUUGAGAUGGUCAGAGUAUCCACAAUCUACUUUGCUAAGUUUAAAUAAAAAGAUUGCUAAGUUUAAAUAAAAAGACUCACUGUAACAAGAGUCAAUCAUAUUAUGCUGGUUCUAAUUUUGGGGGUCUAGUUGGAGAUUGCUAGUAUUGGAAGUGGUUUAUUUUGAUUUUCCCAAUGAUGUGAAUCUUUUGUGGUAGUCGAGGGUUUAUUUAUUUUGGGUGAAAGGAUCAUGUAUAAAUAGAGCUUUUUAUCCUAUAUUUUUUAAAAAACAAAUGUGUCAAAGAUAUACUUUCAUAUGGAAAAAAAAUUGGAAUUA